GAGGGCUUCCCGGAGGAGGGCGCCGGCCGCUUGCCCCUGACGGCGCACACCUCUCCGGUGGGUUCUUCUCUCCACCACUGCCGGACUGACUCGCCGCGCGCCCUCGCGCGUCCCUGGUGGGCGCCACGGCCGCCUCCAUUGGGCCCCAACGCUGCCCCAAGCAGCCGACCGCGCGGGUCCCGCCCCGGGAGCGCCUCCCGGAGACCUGGCGGGGAGGGCGGGGCCUCGAGGCCCGGGCGGCGACCGGAUUGGCUGAGCUUUGCACUCCGGCCAAUGCCUGAGACCUGCACAGAUACUGGGCUUUUUGCUAACUGAAGACGCCAGCCCUCCGUGCGGGAAGUCGCUGCAGACGGGUGGGAGCACAGGACAGCCAGAGUGACCAGCGGGGCCGGAGGACCAGACCGAGUGCCCGGCUGCAGGCUGGGGGGAUCUGGAACGGAUGAGGAGUUGCUGCUUGGGGCCGAGCCAAGGAAGUGGGUCCCGAGGGGAAUCUGCCGCUGCUGACGAUGCCCGAGGACGGCCGCCGUGACCGCGGAGGGUCAGGACGAUGCGUGCGCUCGGCUGGUGACGCGGUCUGGCGCGAGGACGGACUCCAGGGUCGACCGAAUUCCCACUGCGGGUAAAACGGCGUCCAACAGCGUCACACGCCACAGAGACGUGGUCCUCGAGAGGACGUCGGUCACUGCAGCACACGUCACUGCUGUCGCAGCUUGGGGACUUGUCACGUCACCACCUUGAUCAGUCAGCGGCAUGGACGUCAAGGCGGGACCCUCCUCCAGCAAAAGGUCACAACUCACUGAGAGCUAGAUGAUGAUGAACAUUUCUUAGCAAUAAAGUAUUUUUUAAUACAAUUUAA